rnacentral:rRNA from 1 species
AUUGAACGCUGGCGGCAUGCCUUACACAUGCAAGUCGAACGGCAGCACGGGUGCUUGCACCUGGUGGCGAGUGGCGAACGGGUGAGUAAUACAUCGGAACAUGUCCUGUAGUGGGGGAUAGCCCGGCGAAAGCCGGAUUAAUACCGCAUACGAUCUACGGAUGAAAGCGGGGGACCUUCGGGCCUCGCGCUAUAGGGUUGGCCGAUGGCUGAUUAGCUUGUUGGUGGGGUAAAGGCCUACCAAGGCGACGAUCAGUAGCUGGUCUGAGAGGACGACCAGCCACACUGGGACUGAGACACGGCCCAGACUCCUACGGGAGGCAGCAGUGGGGAAUUUUGGACAAUGGGCGAAAGCCUGAUCCAGCAAUGCCGCGUGUGUGAAGAAGGCCUUCGGGUUGUAAAGCACUUUUGUCCGGAAAGAAAUCCUUGGCUCUAAUACAGUCGGGGGAUGACGGUACCGGAAGAAUAAGCACCGGCUAACUACGUG